AAGAAAACGGUUCUGUCAUGUGGCAGUUUACGAGCAAGUCCAUUCAAAAUUUGAUGGAAAGCAUCACCUGAUUGAGCAGGUUGUGGAAACAACAUAGCCUGUUUCAUUGAAGGGUUAGCAAGUAAUCUCUGCUUCCUCAAUAUUUCCUCUGGUGGAAUAGAAGUGAGAAUAGUAUCCAAAUUUGGAACGUCCUUCUCGUCUACAAAAACACCAAUCUCUUCCCAGGGGAUUGCAUCAGCAAAUGGCAAGACAAUAUCAUCUGCAAUGAUAACAGGGAUGCAUCCAAAUAUAACUGCUUCAACCAAU
rnacentral:misc_RNA from 1 species